UUGGAGGGCAAGUCUGGUGCCAGCAGCCGCGGUAAUUCCAGCUCCAAUAGCGUAUAUUAAAGUUGUUGCAGUUAAAAAGCUCGUAGUUGAAUUUCGAGACCGGCUUACUGGUCGUGCUAUUGUACGUACUGGUAUAAUCGGUUUCUCCUUUCUGACGAACUUUAAUGCCAUUAAUUUGGUGUUUUAGGGAAUCAGGACUGUUACUUUGAAAAAAUUAGAGUGUUUAAAGCAGGCUCACGCUUGAAUACAUUAGCAUGGAUAACGGAAUAGGACGUUUGAUUCUAUUUUGUUGGUUUCUAGGAUCGACGUAAUGAUUAAUAGGGAUAGUUGGGGGCAUUAGUAUUCAAUUGUCAGAGGUGAAAUUCUUGGAUUUAUUGAAGACUAACUACUGCGAAAGCAUUUGCCAAGGAUGUUUUCAUUAAUCAAGAACGAAAGUUAGGGGAUCGAAGACGAUCAGAUACCGUCGUAGUCUUAACCAUAAACUAUGCCGACUAGGGAUCGGAUAAUGUUAAUUUUUUAAUGACUCAUUCGGCGCCUUACGGGAAAC
rnacentral:rRNA from 1 species